CAGCCUGAAUGGAUAAUUGGUGGCAACCUGUCAGCUGUCCCUCCUUCUGCAGCUGAGAAUCAUCCACACACACACACAGGACAUCCCAUCAAGACAGCAUACUGCAGCCAAGCCCCUUUUCCCCCAACUUGUUGACUCCUUUCCCCAUACCAAACAACAAAUGCACGUACUUACUUCUCUCUUCUACCCACGGAGUAUUUCACAAGGAAAAGUUCUAGCACAAACUCUCAUUUGUUCUCCUCUCUUAUCAUUGCUGGGAUAAGCAGGGCUGUAAGCUGCUACCUAAUGCUGCUGAGACGGAGAAGAAAUUUGGGCCAUCCCCAUUUCUUCAUGUCUUGGCACGUAUCAGCUGCAAGAGCGAUUCACCUUCUGAUGAAUUUCUGUCUCAGCAGAACAACCAAGGGAAGAGAAAGAAGUGAUUUCAUAUUUAUAUUGGAUCGUGCUUAUACAGGGUGGUCGAAUUCUGCCUUAACAUGUGUGUUCAGCUCUGCCUGUGAAUACCAGAGACUCAGCUUCAUGUGAAGAUCUUCUGUGGUUCCUGCGCAUCCAGGUGCCAAACUCAGCAGUGAAAGUCAGUGUAGCUGUGCCAAGACUCAGUUUGGGCUACAGCUUUGAAAGCCACAGCUUUGAAAGCCACAGAUGAGGACUGACAAGGCACCGACAGACACAGUUUGGGCUACAGCUUUGAAAGCCACAGAUGAGGACAGACAAGGCACCGACAAGACUUCCAUCACUGGCACAUGUAGAAACACUACUCUGUUUUAUAAACAGGUGUUUCUUUUUAUACAUAAUACCGUAAAGGCCAUUUUAUCUGCCCAAUAAAAGUUUACAAGACAAUUCCAUUGUACAUUAUAUCAUACAAUAGCAUCACGUAUUUCUGCAGAAUUCCUUUAUCUUGGAUGGAAACUCAUGUGUUUCCCAUAGAAGCUUCUCAGUGUAUUUCUGUUUAGAGAUAUGCUCCUUCUUGCACAUUUGCAGAUGCAGGUCCAGGAGAAAUGGAGCAAUUUUCUCUUCCCCAACUGGAGCAGUAUUGGACUGUCCUCAUCAGGAAAUGAAAAUGUUCCAAUUGCAUCUGUAUCUCUUGCUGCUCUCUGUACCACAAUUCUUCACUAACAGAAAUCCUCCUAGUGAUCAUGAGCAAUACAUUUUGCAUUUGGACCUUGGACUUGGCUGACACUUUUUAAAAAAUAUUAUAUAUAUAUUCAGUCAGACAACACCCUGGAGACUAUUACACAUCUGCAGAUGCUGAAGGGCACAAAUUAUUCCUGCUAAGGUCAACAUUACCUUACACUAAAAAAUUGUCUUCUUGAUCACGGCUUGCACACUGUGAACAAGUGAUGAAUUUUUAUGAUUUCACCACCAACACUUGGUUAUAUUAUGUACCCCUUGGGGAGGAGAAGUGAGGAGGUGGAAAGAAGUCCCAGACCACAUAUAGACACCUAAAAAUCUGUCCUUCUUUCUUUCAUAAAAUCCCAUUGAGCCAGAUGAGCCAAAAUUUCACUU